AUUGAACGCUGGCGGCAGGCCUAACACAUGCAAGUCGAACGAGUGGCGGACGGGUGAGUAAUGUCUGGGAAACUGCCUGAUGGAGGGGGAUAACUACUGGAAACGGUAGCUAAUACCGCAUACCAUCAGAUCUGCCCAGAUGGGAUUAGCUAGUUGGUGGGGUAACGGCUCACCAAGGCAACGAUCCCUAGCUGGUCUGAGAGGAGGACCAGCCACCCUGGAACGAGGACACGGUCCAGACUCCUACGGGAGGCAGCAGUGGGAAAUAUUGCACAAUGGGCGCAAGCCUGAUGCAGCCAUGCCGCGGGUAUGAAGAAGGCCUUCGGGUGGUAAAGUACUUUCAGCGGGGAGGCGUUACCCGCAGAAGAAGCGCCGGCUAACUCCGUGCCAGCCGCCGCGGUAAUUC
rnacentral:rRNA from 1 species